GUCGUGAGAUGUUGGGUUAAGUCCCGCAACGAGCGCAACCCUCGUUCCAUGUUGCCAGCGGGUUAUGCCGGGGACUCAUAGGAGACUGCCGGGGUCAACUCGGAGGAAGGUGGGGACGACGUCAAGUCAUCAUGGCCCUUAUGUCCUGGGCUGCAAACAUGCUACAAUGGCCGGUACAGAGGGCUGCAAACCCGCGAGGGGGAGCCAAUCCCAAAAAGCCGGUCUCAGUUCGGAUCGGGGUCUGCAACUCGACCCCGUGAAGUCGGAGUCGCUAGUAAUCGCGAAUCAGCAACGUCGCGGUGAAUACGUUCCCGGGCCUUGUACACACCGCCCGUCACGUCACGAAAGUCGGUAACACCCGAAGCCAGUGGCCCAACCCUUUGGGGAGGGAGCUGUCGAAGGUGGGAUCGGCGAUUGGGACGAAGUCGUAACAAGGUAGCCGUACCGGAAGGUGCGGCUGGAUCACCUCCUUUCUAAGGAGCUUUCCCCGCGGCCCUCGCAAGAGGGUCGCCAGGAGCCAGGACCCACUCACGGGCCUGGUCGCUCCAGGAUCUCGAUCACUGGCUAUUCGGUCGGGCCGCUCGCCGGCUCGCCUAGUACCGCCCCCGCAAGGGGGUGUGGAACGGCGGAAGGGGACGGUCUCGGCCGCGCACACUGUUGAGCUUUGAGGGAGCGUCUCCCUUCGGGGGCGCGAGCACCUCGCCACGAGGCUCUGCCUGAACCCCGAACCGGCCGGCACAUCCGGCCAGGCGGGUGACAGGAGUCGGGCCGGGAACCUUGAGAACUACAUAGCGAGCGCGAGCAUCUUUGAAGUUGCCAAGUUACAAAGGGCACAUGGUGGAUGCCUAGGCGCCAGAAGCCGAUGAAGGACGUAGGAGGCUGCGAUAAGCCUCGGGGAGCUGCCAACCUAGCUUUGAUCCGGGGAUGU
rnacentral:sRNA from 1 species